AGGGAAUCUUCCGCAAUGGACGCAAGUCUGACGGAGCAACGCCGCGUGAGUGAUGAAGGUCUUCGGAUCGUAAAGUUCUGUUGUUAGUGAAGAACAAGUACCGUUCAAAUAGGUCGGUACCUUGACGGUAACUAACGAGAAAGCCACGGCUAACUACGUGCCAGCAGCCGCGGUAAUACGUAGGUGGCAAGCGUUGUCCGGAAUUAUUGGGCGUAAAGGGCGCGCAGGCGGCCGAUUAAGGCUGAUGUGAAAUCCCACGGCUUAACCGUGGAAGGUCAUUGGAAACUGAUUGGCUUGAGUGCAGAAGAGGAGAGUGGAAUUCCACGUGUAGCGGUGAAAUGCGUAGAUAUGUGGAGGAACCCCAGUGGCGAAGGCGGCUAUCUGGUCUGCAACUGACGCUGAGGCGCGAAAGCGUGGAUAGCAAAC
rnacentral:rRNA from 1 species